CCACUUCACAGACUUAUUGGUUGAUUAAUGAAGAUGGGCUUUGCAAGCAGUCUGCCUUCUGGGAUUGAUUUCACUUUACCAAGAGAUAAUGGCCCAUGGGACCCUCUCACUCUUUCUUAAUCUGAGUGGGCUGGUUUUCCAUGAGGUUUAAUCAGAGAAAAAGGAAAUGAUCUCAUGCAAAGCUAAACCCCCCUAAAGCCUCAGAUUCUUAUGUUUUUGAGUCAUCUGUGCAAUACUUCCCUUCACUUCGCUGGAAAGCAGAGAACAGAGAGAAAGAAGGUGUAUUGAUUUCCCAGGGCUGCCGUUACAAACUAUUGCAGACUGGGUGGCUCAAAACAACAGAAAUUUAUUUUCUUACAGAUCCGGAGGCCAGAGACCCAAACCAAGAUGUCAGCAAGGUUGAUUCCUUCUGGGGGCUCUGAAGGAGAAUCUGCUGCAUGCCUUUCUCCACUGCCUGGUGGUUUGCUGGCUGUCCAUGGCAUUCCUGGGCUUGUAGAUGCCUCAUUCCAAUCUCUGCCCUUGUCUUCACAUGCCCUUCUCCCCUGUGUGUCUGCGUUCAAAUUUCCUUCUUAUAAGGACACAUGCGAGAUUGGUCAAGUGUGACCUCAUCUUAACCAAUUAUAUUGUCAAAGACUCUAUUUCCAAAGAGAGUCUGUUUCCAUUCUGAGGUUCUGGGUAGACGUAAAUUUUCAGGUAUACUAUUCAACCCGCCACAGACAAGAAAUGGUGUGUCUGCACAAUUGGGCGGCUGCAGAAGUCUUCUCUUCUUUCUUACCUGCCAGUGCUCAUCCUAAACAUGCAUUUAAAAAGCAAUAGAGCAGGCUGGGUGCAGUGUGGCUGAUGCCUGUAAUCCUAGCACUCUGAAGGAGGCCGAGGCAGGCCAAUCACUUGAGGUCAGGAGUUUGAGACCAGCCUGACCAACAGGGCAAAAUCAUCUCUACAAAAAAAUAGAAAACUUAGCCAGGUAGGUGCCUGUAGUCCUAGCUACUUUGGAGGCUGAGAUGAGAGGAUCACCUGAGCCGGGGGAGGUCUUAGCUGCAGUGAGCCAUGAUUGUGCCACUGCACUCCAGCCUGGACAACAGAGCAAGACUCUGCCUCAACAACAGAGCAAGACUCUGCCUCAAAAAAAAAAAAAAAGAACGAAAGAAAGAAAGAAAAAAGAAAAUGCAAUAGAGCAGACUGGUUUAGACUCUGGGCUCUCAGUCACGGCAUCUGUGUGCACAACUCAGCCCUGCCUCUCACCUAUGUGAGGUUUUACUCCUCUUUUGCUUCUAUCUCCCCAUCUACAAAAUAGGGAUAAAGAGAGUCCCAACUUCAAAGUCUUGUUGUGAAUAUUAUGUAUAUUAAUCAGUGUGGAGUGCUUGGAACAGUUCCCGGCACAUAAUUUGUGCUCAGUAAAUGUUACCAGCUGCCUAUAUUUUCUGAGUACCUUUUUUUGCAGGAGCCAUUGGAGGUACUAGGGAUAUGAAACAAUUAACCAAAACUUUUGCCCCAAAGGUUGAAUAGUGCAAACUUUAACAAGAUAAGUGGCAAUACAAAUGUGUACAUGCAAAUACUAAGUGACAGGUGGCUCUUCUGGUUAUUGUGUGCCAGUAAAUUGAGAAGAAAGACAGCCUGUAUAUUGGCAGCCUAUGGCAUCCCCGCUUCUUGGAGCAUAAUUCAUUGAACCUCUUUCUACAAGGAGCAAUGCUCUUUAGGCCUUGACUGGGACAAACAACAUAUAACAUUUGUACACAACUUAGCAAGUGCUUUGCUAUGGUUUGAAUGUGUUCCCCCAAAGUUCAUGUGUGGAAACUUAAUCCCCAAUGCAAUAGUGUUGAGAGGUGGGACCUUCAAGAGGUGAUUAGGCCCUGAGGGCUCCUCUCUCCUGAAUGGAUUGCGGUCAUUAUUGUGGGAGUGGGUUAACUAGGGCAGAAGUGGGCUCUUGAUAAAAGGAUGCUCUUGGCCCCCUUCCCUUCUUGCUCCCUCUCGCCUUCUCUUUGCCCUUCGGCUGUGGCAUGACAGCAAGAAGGGCCUCAUCAAAUGCAGCCCCUUGAUCUUGGACUUCCCAGACUCCAGAAUCAUGAGCCUAAUACAUUUCUGUGUAUUAUAAAUUAUCCAGUCUGCAGUAUUCUGUUAUAGCAGUACAAAAGAACAAAAAUAUGCCUGCCUACAGAUCAUCUCAGGCAGUCCUCACAAUGACUUCGUGAUACUGGUGGUGCUAGGUCUAUUUUAAAACUAGAGAAAAAUGAGAUUCAAAGAGGUUAAUAACUGAUUUCUCCAAGGUUACCUAGCAGAUCCAGGUCUCAAACCCAGCGCUCUUUGCCUGAUGCAACUAACUGACUACUUAGAUGGGCACAGUGGGGGUCAAUUAACUAAACAACUGCAUUAAAGAAGGAUAUGUCAUGGGGCCCCAGGAAGGCUGCAUCUCCUGAUGAUGACAACGACAGCUUCGAGGAUGAUGUUGUGCCUCAGUUUUGUCUGAUAAUUGUUGCAGAUACCUUGAAAUAGCAUUUACUAAUAGCACUACUUCUAAAUUAAAAUAAUUAAUAGAACUGCCACUAGGUCUUAUUUAAUGCAUUAGGAAAAAAAGCACAUA
rnacentral:lncRNA from 1 species